AAGGAUUAUUUAACAAAUUAGCAAUCAUUUUGUUUUCAUAGUUUUGUUGCAAAAUAUAUAUUUUUAAUAAAAAACUGAUUUUCAACGGAACUACUUUAUUUUGACCAACCGGUUGUGAUGAGGCAGUUGUCAUAUGACCGACCCAUCACUGCACUUUCCGUGGCGUGUUAUUGAGUGUAGCCAGCAGCACAUUCAACAGAGACUACUAAAUCGAUGGCUGAAUUUAAUUGUGUUUAUAGUGCAGACCUGGAAGUAAAUUGUGGGACUAAUAAUUCCUCCCAGUGUCUAAUCACACUUCAAGGUAGUCCCCAUGUCAAGCAGCGGAGACAAUGAUGGGGAAUGGAGAUCAUGAUGCAGUUACUCAUCUUACCACAUGAGGGCAGCCAAGUGUAAGAUUUGGCAGUGGAUCUUAUUGAGAAACAGAAUAUCACCAUUACUUGUCCUAUAACAAAAAUGCAAUGUCAAUUUUUGAAAUUUCUCUCACAAUUUAAAACUGGUCCCCCUUUCCUGAGCAUUCUGUCAUACAUUCCCACAAAAUACAAGCAGACAAAACACCACAACUGGGAUGCUUUUUGAGAGCACCGUGAUUCUGUUUAAGUUACAAAGGAGAGCCAGAUAAAAGUGGUCAAUACUGACAAGUGUUUUAUUAGUAACACAGACCUGGGGACUGAGCCAAAAAGAUGCAGUCUUGACAAGACUGAAAUUGUUCAAAUGGCAUUGAAAAGACAGGAGCAGACAAUGGAACCAAUACAGUCAGGGGAACAAUCAAAAGGGCUGCUCAUUCUGCUUCAAAUACAAAACAACAAAGUACAAAUCCAGAAAUUAAGUGCAAAACCCAAAUUGAAUUGAUAUAUCAGGCAUAAGAUUUUCAAUAAUGGAGAUGUCUAUGUCAUACUAUACAUCAUGGUAACUGAAAGAUGAGAAAUUAAAAUAUUUUUUUUAACCAUUAUUUUCUUUCAUAAGUUCUUCAGUCCAGCCUUACAUCCUACAAUGGGUUUUGGAGGAACAAGCUUGAGAUAAAUGAUCAUGUCUAACCAACAGUCAUUUGAUUAAAAAAAAUAAAAAAUAGACUGCUUUAUACUUCAUCCAGAGAGGUCUGUGUUGUGUAGCAAAUCUUCAUUGCGUAAAAUUACUUGUCAUAACUCACUCAUUGGUACCCUCGACACAUGAAUUACCCUGGUUGAUUGACAGGGCCUAUAUUCCCCCAAUCAAAACUAUCAUCCUCCAUCUAAUCCUGUCGUCCGGUUCCUCUUGGCCAUCUUAACAGAAGUAAGGUCCAGUACCAAGUUGAGAAAGAGAGAGUAAAAUAACAGGCGUCGUUAGAGGUGCAGUCCAGACUAAUGACAUGUAAGAAAAAAAGGAUGGAAACUUGUCUAGUUCAUUGCCUUGCUGUCCCUAUUAUUUUGUAACGUCAAAAGUUUAGCAUGACGAACAAACGUGAGCAUUCUCCCAA